UACGUAGGGUCCGAGCGUUGUCCGGAAUUACUGGGCGUAAAGAGCUCGUAGGUGGUUUGUCGCGUUGUUCGUGAAAACUCACAGCUUAACUGUGGGCGUGCGGGCGAUACGGGCAGACUUGAGUACUGCAGGGGAGACUGGAAUUCCUGGUGUAGCGGUGGAAUGCGCAGAUAUCAGGAGGAACACCAAUAGCGAAGGCAGCUCGCUGGGACGUUACUGACACUAAGGCGCGAAAGCGUGGGGAGCGAACAGG
rnacentral:rRNA from 1 species